rnacentral:rRNA from 1 species
AUCAACGCUGGCGGCGCGCUUAACACAUGCAAGUCGCACGAGAAAGUGGAGCAAUCCAUGAGUAAAGUGGCGUACGGGUGAGUAACACGUGGAUCAUCUACCUCUUGGUGGGGAAUACCCCGGGAAACUGGGGACAAUACCGCAUAAGCCUGUGAAGGGAAAGCAGCAAUGCGCCGAGAGAGGAGUCCGCGGCCGAUUAGCUAGUUGGUGAGGUAACGGCCCACCAAGGCGAAGAUCGGUUAAGCCGGCCUGAGAGGGCACACGGCCACACUGGCACUGAAACACGGGCCAGACUCCUACGGGAGGCAGCAGGGGGAAUCUUGCACAAUGGAGGGAAACUCUGAUGCAGCGACGCCGCGUGGAGCUGAUGAAGCCCCUCGGGGUGUAAAGCUCUUUCGACGGGAACGAUAAUGACGGUACCCGAAGAAGAAGAAGCUGCGCUAACUACGUGCCAGCAGCCGCGGUAAUACGUAGGCAGCAAGCUUGUUCGGAAUUACUGGGCGUAAAGAGUGUGUAGGCGGUGCUCUAAGUUUGGUGUGAAUCUUCCCGGCUUAACUGGGAGGGUGCGCCGAAAACUGGAGUGCUUGAGUAUGGGGAGAGGUAAGCGGAAUUCCUGGUGUAGCGGUGAAAUGCGUAGAUAUCAGGAGGAACACCCUGUGGUGUAGACAGCUUACUGGACCAUCACUGACGCUCGAGGACACGAAAGCGUGGGUAGCAAACAGGAUUAGAUACCCUGGUAGUCCACGCCCUAAACGAUGCAUACUUGGUGUAAGCCAUUCAUUUGGUUUGUGCCGGAGCUAACGCGUUAAGUAUGCCGCCUGGGGAGUACGGUCGCAUAGGCUGAAACCUCAAAGGAAUUGACGGGGCCCGCACAAGCGGUGGAGCAUGUGGUUCAAUUCGACGCAACGCGAAGCACACCUUACCUGGGCUCGAACGGCUGGUUAACGGCAGUGGAAACAUUGCUACUCCGCAAGGAGGUCCAGUCGAGGUGCUGCAUGGAUGUCGUCAGCUCGUGUCGUGAGAUGUUGGGUUAAGUCCCGCAACGAGCGCAACCCUUGUCCCUGUGUUGCCCACUCCCGUUAAACGGAAGCACUCGCAGGAGACCGCCAGCGAUAAGUUGAGGAAGGUGGGGAUGAUGUCAAGUCAUCAUGGCCUUUAUGUCCAGGGCUACACACGUGCUACAAUGGGCGGUACAAAGCGCUGCAAACCCGCGAGGGGGGAGCUAAUCGCAAAAAACCGCUCUCAGUUCGGAUCGCAGGCUGCAACUCGCCUGCGUGAAGCUGGAAUCGCUAGUAAUGGCGUAUCAGAAUGUAUGCCGUGAAUACGUUCCCGGGCCUUGUACACACCGCCCGUCACAUCACGAAAGUGGGAUUGUACUAGAAGUCCUAAUCAAACAGGCCCAAGGUAUGAUUCAUGAUUGGGGUG